UGCCUGCUCUAUACACUAGAAAACAUUAUGUGGAACAGCAAAUUUGCUUUCCAAGUCAAACUGAAGAAAACCACACAAUAAUUAACUGGAAUUAACUUACUGAAUUUAAAGCGGAAUAUACUUGAACUGCCUGACAAAUUAUGCAUUAAGAACAAACCAAGAGAAAAACAAAACAAACAUCACACCAUAAUAUUUUUUUAAAAAGUUUUGAAAGACAAGUGUUUCAUCGUCUUGAGAACGCUGACUUAUGAUGCCCUUGAUUGGCAUUAAGGAAACAAACUCUGGGAAAGAAUGAUGAUGUCCUGUUAUAUUCCCAUCUUUGUAUUGCUCUCUCAAGAAAUAUGGGGGAGGAGGAGCCAGAAGAAGAAACAGCUCGAAGAAUUGACUAUUGUUGCCUCUGGCAAAUGGGAUAAGGAAAUGAUGAGUUUCAUUACAAGCCUAGAAGUAAUUAAGUUUCCAUGUUACUCAUUUGUACUAUUUUCACUUAAGACAAUGAAAAAUUAUAAUUUCUAAAGAGCAGAAAAGAGCUCAGAAACCUGCUUGGUAACCAGUGGCUGUAUGAUAUGUUGCCUGACCGUUAAAUCCAGAAACUGUCAAAAGAUGGGUUUUGUUUAGGUCGAGCCAGACUUUCUGCAGAAGGAGUAACGCGCCAAAGGAUCUGUCUGACUCUCACCCCCACGGCCACCACCUCUAUUUCUGCUCAUCUCCAGCUUGACCGCUGGACCUUCAGGCAGGCCUUCCCUUGUCCCACAGCCAAGUGCUGCCCUCUCCAUUCAUCUCUUCUACCAUUAUCAUCAGCUGAGUCAGAAAUAGAAGACUCAGUGGACACAAAAAAAGACUAGCCGCCAUUCUGAGCUAGAGGCUGCUUCAGAGGAAGAGAGCUGACUUCACUGACCACCCCCUCAGUCCCAGGCACUGGACUCUGGGCACCUUU
rnacentral:antisense_RNA from 1 species